GUUUAUUUUAAAUAAGAAAGAAAUUGUGCAAUAUAAAAUUACACGCAAAUUAAACGUUUGUUAAAACAUAAAAAGAGUAAAUUUACGUCACGAGAUAUAAUUGUUUCGCUAAUUUCUAAAUAAACAGGAAAAUAUGUGCCGAUUUAUAAAUCCAGACGCACAUAAUAUUUUAACAGAGAGUCCUAAGAAUGAGAAUAGAGGAGAGGAGGAAAUAAAGAGACGAGGGAAGAGGAAAAACGCUUUACCCUCCGAACGGUCGUUAGCGAAGGAACGCGCGCGGCCGUCGAGGGAAUCGCGGAAUUAAAUAGAAAUAGUUUCUUUCGCUCGUCCAGAACGGGAGUAGUUAACGUUUUACGCGCGACGACUUUGGUUCUCGCCACGGGUCAUAAAAUCCCCUCUUCCCCUCUCCCUUCCACGGAUCCCCAGCGGAGGGGGAAUGCAGGUGUCGCCGGAAGCUGUUUUACGACCCGGCAGGAAAACGUAAAUCGGGAUACGACCUUCGUUACGGAUCUGAGAAAACGGAAUGUUGGAAGGACCGUUUCGGGGAUCGAACGGCUAUCACGCAUCCUGCAGUCGUUUCAAACUCAGCUCUCGUCCUCGACGCAACAAAGUCGCGCGGACGGGCAACAAAAGAAAUAGCAAUGAAUUGUCAGAUUGGACCCUCAAUUCCGCCUGACUCGUUCGAUUCUUUUUCACCGUAAAGCCUUUCACACCGUAGCUCCUUAACACUCCGUCAUUCUCCUCUCUCUCUCUCUUGCGUAAUGCAUUUGCGAAAUAAAUUAUAAGAUGUAUCUCGUCGCAGGGAUGAUAAAACCAAUGGAGAGACAAUGGAAUUGAAAAAUCCGAUUGUGCUUGACGAAAUCCAAGGACGCUCUCUCCCAUGACGGGAAGUCCGACGCGUCGAUACCGUUUUCCGUUUUACGACCGCAACGUCGCCGUUGAUCCGAGCGCGCCCGCUGUUCCUGUUGCUGUUUCAUCGCUGCCCGACACGGUCGGUGCAUCGAGGCAUCGAAUGCGAGAACACGCAGCGCGGAGCCACUGAAUGCGUCCAAUCGCCGGGAGUGUCUUCUGGGAAUCACUCGGGAUGCAUUUAAAUGCCCGCACGCUCGCGAAUAAACAGGCACGUCCAUUGAAUACUGAUCGCCGGCCGAUAUGAUACCCACGCUCGUACACCCGUGAUCCUCACCGACGCUAUAUAUGUAUUAAACAAUACAUACCAGGCAUUUUCGCGGUUUACCUUUAAUUAAGCGAGUUGUUUAUUCACACGAUCACGGAGUGCCACUUGAGAAUCCGCGGGGAUCUAUUAGAUUGCGAAGUUGCACGUUUCUCGUACGCUUCCGCGAAAAAAAUACAUCAUCGUGAAAACGAAUCGAAUUAAUGCGAUAAUAUUGCAAAAGACUUAAAGCGUUAUUAGAUAAUAUCGGCUUAUAAGCUCAAAGAACUAAUUGAUAUUAAUUCACAGAAUUCUUUUAUAUCGCCGGCGGCGGGGCUCAUUCUAAUUCACGAUUCGCGAGACUCAAUAUUAUUUUUCUUUUUUAUUUCCGGUGAGCUCGCAGGCUUCGAUGCAAAAGAGACGCGCGAGAUGAGAGAAUCUCUAUGUUUAUAUUCGUGACGAUGAAAAGAAGGAGUCAGGUUCAUUUUCCCGUAUUCAGUAUAGUAUUGGAAUUUUUCUUUUGUGCUCAACUAGCCGGCAGCCGUACCGGUCAUUUGCUGUCCGUGCGUCGGAAAAUCAAAAUUACACUCGUUUCAGUCGUUGCUUUUCAAUACGCGCUAUUCAGGACUUUAAUCCGCCACCGUAAAUUCAAUGCCUCCACGAUAGCGCCGAACUGUUUUUCUCCUUUUCCGUCGCGACUACAUAAAUGUCGGAAUAGACGCUAGAACCCGCCGUCGACACACAUAUAUCAAGUGCGUACGCGGACAUUCUUUCUCGGCGACGUCCAUUUAAAAUGGGCUCGAUAUUGCCCGGUCGGGCAACUUCUUGCUGGAUACCAUAAUUAACGAGUAUCAGAGAGCGCAUCGGUGUAACGGUAAAGGAUUUAAGAUCGCGGACGAUCGUUAGCUCUCCUCUCCUCUCUCUCUCUCUCUCUCUCUCUCUCUCUCUCUCUCUCUCUUCCUGCGAAUGUAAUCGAAAUACGGAAGAGUUUAGCGACGUCGCGGAGAAUGAAGAGAAGCACGCUGAUUCGCGAUUGGCGAACCGAUACGUCAGCCAACCGAAAGGCUACAAUAGGAAAUGAUUGAGCAGCGCGAUCUCAAGGAUAACGUUCCGUAGCAGAUCUUUGCCAAGGACAAUUACCUUAACAUAAUUGUGGCAUAAUUGACGUACUCAUGACUGAUCUCAUCGGUAACAAAAAUGCUUCAAAGAAACGAGUCUCUUUUGCAUAAACAUCACGCCACUUCUCUCUCUAAACGGAGUAGGUUUUUUCCGAACAUAAUAAGAUGUUAUUUUCAUUAAAUGAAGUCCUAUGUUUAGAAUAUACGAUGAAUAAAAGAUUAGAAUGACUUAAAUUGAUUGGUAAAAAUGAUUUAUUAAGAAUCACGUGUAUACAUAUAUAAUAUAUGUAUAUUUAAAUUUCGUUAAAAAAGUAUAUUUCUUUUAACGAUGAAAAACAUCUUCAACUAUUUUCUUUUGCAAAUGUAAUUUUUUAUGUUUUUAGUUGUGGAGUUUUAGUUCAUAUGAGAGAUGAUGGAGAGAGAGAUUUUAUAUAACAAAUCUUUUUAAUGUCUAGAAACAAUGUGGAAUUAUUCAUUCGUCAAAUAAAGCAAAUAAGCUCCAAUACACUCAUUUCAAUGUACGCGCAACGUAAGCGCAGGGGAGCGAUACGGUAUCUUUUACGUAAACCGACUUCGGGAAGACGUUAAUUCUCGCGGUCGGUGGAAUCGAGGGAAAUAGAGAAACGCGUGUAGGAAAAACACCGGCAAAGAGAAAAUAAACCAGUUCUAGUUUAAUUCAACCGCCGCCGCGACGCCACAUGGAGUCACGCGGUGCAGUUUGUGUAUCAGAGGGGAAGGAAAACGAGUUCACGGGAAUCUCAGCUCGACAAACGGACAGAGAUAUGGAUGGCGAGACAUGUGCACAGCAUUUUCUAAGAGAGAUAAAAAGCCGUCGGGCAAGGGUGAGAGUGAGGGUGAGUGGCAACGGAAAAAAAAACGUACGAGUAUAAGUAACGAUAGAGAGGCGGUGUAUUAAACAAAGAAAUUAAAAGCAUAUAGUCCGCGUACGUGACGGAAACGAAAUUUUUUCUGCGCGCGCGGCCUUAUUUGUAGUGGAAUAAACUUAUCGCGUGAAAGAAUGGUUUUGUUCCUUUAUUCUCUUUCCGAUACGGCCCGCAAUACUACCCGAUAGUUUCCGUAAAUUUGUAUUUCUGUUUUUUAAACAUGAAUCUCGUAGCUCGAAAAAAGGUAGAAUUACAAUAAUUAAUAAAAUUAGCAAGCAAGAGAAAAAUGCAGCAUAUCUUUUAGAACAAAUUCCCAAUUCACAUUAUGUGCACAUUUAUUCUGUAAAUCCGUUAAUCCGUCGAAAAAAAGAAAAAAUGCUAUUUUAUGUUUAACUAAAAAUGCUCACUGUAGGUAUCAGAGAUCUGCUCGAGAACUAGAGAAUACGAUACUAGAUAGAAACAUCAUGUAUCCGCCAUUCACAAACCAAUCUUGUUCAAAUUUGCAUUCAGGUCGUGUCGUCUGCAACAUUCGAUUAGUACUUGUGCAGCGGCAAUGCAAAUGCGAAAUCUACUUGAUAAUUAAUUAACACAUACAGCAAGGAACUUAAUAUACAGUUGUGGCCACUAGCAGAAAAAUCAAAUUGACAAUGUUAGUGACGCGGUUUGGCUGUAACAAUUAAUUAGCGUUUCACGUUUUUGACAGCGAUAACGGGAUGACGUAAAUCGAGUACCAUCGUAGAUUCAAUUAGCUUCGUUUCGAUAAUGACUCCAUAAAUAUCGCUAAUGUCGCCUAAUGUGCGAUUUCGUAUUAAAGCGUCAGGCACCUGCCGGCAGGAAACGUUUACGUGAGUCUUGAAUGAGUCCUUAAUUGCACACUCACCAUGUAUUUAUCCGGCUCUUUCUCUCAAUCUCGAAAUAUCAAAGUGUACGCGGUGUAGCAUCCGCGUGUAUGUGCGUUAAUGCGCGCUUCUAUCGGAGUGCUCUCGCGAUCUGCAUACGGAACUUUACACCUGAACGUUAGGGUAGGAAAAUGAUGCGUACGUGUGCGUUUAAUUUACAUAUGUGUAGAUUCCAUUCACGUGCAAUGUAUUCGUAUAUACGAGCAUUCUGCGCAAGAGGACUACUGUCGCGAGACAAAAAUUUCGUAAAAAAAAGUCUACGCAAUUUCUCUCUUAGCCAUUAACUUCAUCUGAAAGGAGUACACCGAUUGUGCGGGGUGCUCUUUUUAUUUUCUGGAGAAAUCGGCAAAACACGCGACGUUUAUAUUUCCUUGUAUUAAAAUAAAUAAAAUGAUCCGAGUGAAAUUCAAGUGGAUCUCUCAGUAUGAUCUUACAGGAUAAAAUCUUUAAAGACGGCAUUUAAUGGCAUUUAAAAUAAAUUCCUUAAAUUUAGUUUACCUUAAAGUGCUAUUCGUAUUCUUCCGAUUUAAUACUAUUCUGAGUAAAAAUUCAUUUACAUAAUUAAAAAUUUCUUUUGCACUUUAAAAGAUGUUUGACAAUUUUUUACUUUAUAUGUUAUAAGUGUUAAAAUUUCUGAAGAAACACUGUUUUAAUGUAAAAAAGGCUUGUUAAAUAUUAUUUUUAACUAUCGAAAUUUUAAUGAUAAAAACAAUACUAAACUUAAAUUAGCACAAAAAUUCACCCACACGAUAGAGCUCUAGGGAUAGUAUAAAUUCCUUCAUUAUUAACAAUUUCAUCUAGCUCGAGAGUAAAUUUUUAAAUUAUCUUGUCCAGAUAUAAAGGUGGGAGCUUCUGAAGAGACAUAUGCGGGCUAAUUAGAUGCCGCUCCUAAAAAAGAACCACACGCACGUCCAACGACGUGACAUUAAUCGAAUCAUAGCCGACCAUAAUUCGAUAGUAAAACAAAAAAGACACGCUAACAAAGAGGCGGCUAUUAGUAUGCGUCAGAAAGUGCAAUCUCUACAAAAUAAUUACGUCGCAUAAAUCAUCGACACAAUGACUUUUUCGCUACAUCGUCGUCCAUCGCUCCUCAAACGAUGGAAAUUCAUGGCGAAAAGAAUCGCUGCUUAAAUAAAUAUCUGAAAUAUACUUGAGAUAUGAACUAUUUGCGUAUCGAUGUUACGAGAUCCGCAAACUUAUGCGACUAUAAAAACGAGAUAAAGUCAAAUAAUACUUCAAGUUCAACGAUAAAAUGUUAUUUACCUAGGAUCAAGCGGUUAUUUUUCCUAUCCUCGAAAGAUCUUGCUGAUAUUUAUGGCAAACUGCAAAAUUUCAUCCUCCGUUCCACUCUUGCAGCAAAAUUUCGAUCCUAUGUUACGGAGCGGCGUCAAUAAUCGGUACAGUCUGGAUAACAGACUGGAAGGCGGUGUGCAAGCACAUCCCAUAUUACGGCAGCAAAUAUGAAAGAGAGGUUUCGCAGAGAUAAUGGAACGAUCCGGAAGAGUGAAACGGCGUAAACGACCGAAUCAUGGCAACAGACUCACGAAAUCUCUUUUUGAGAUCGUCGCUGGAAUUUAUCGAGCUCUUUAUUAAAGAACGUAAACUUUCGCGCCAAAUAAAAAAAAAAUUAUGCGAAUUUGUAUCCAACAAAAUAAAAAUUCACUUUUAACCUAAUCCGAGCGUAUUUAAUCACGAAAAAAAAAACGCCCGAACAGGGACUCGAACCCUGGACCCUCAGAUUAAAAGUCUGAUGCUCUACCGACUGAGCUAUCCGGGCACCGAUAUACAAGUCCCUUCUAAACUUUCUGGUAAUGAAUCUACCAAAAUUACUUUUUAUUCACGUAGGUUUCAGCAGUCCGGAAAAACAACAUAUUCGACUAAAAUUAAAAAAAGAUAAACAAGAUAGACUAAAAAUAAAUAUUUAAUUGUACAUGUAUUUUUAGGAUAUUCAUAAAUUCGUAAAUUAUAAUACUACAAGACAAAACUCGAAAAAUUAAGUAAAAUAGUUAUUUAUAAAUUUUUAUUUUAAAGAAGUACUUUUACAACCGGAUCUAUACCUCAAAAAUUACUUGAAAUUUUUUACUUAAAAAAUUAUUUGAAAUAAAAAUAUUUAUAAGCCAUUUUAUUUAAUUUUUCAAGAAUCUUCGUUAUAAUGUUGUGACUUGCAAAUAUCAGAACGCUUUAUUAAUAAAUUAAUAAAAAAUGUAUUUCUUUAUAUUUUCCGGCCUUCCUAAUAUUUAUUAAAAUAUAAUUUCAAUUCUAUUAUCUUCAAUUUUAUUAACUUUGAUAUGUAUUAUAUUCUAUUAAAAUGCUAAUAAAUAUUAAUUGAUAGCCUAUUAUGUGAUUAAGCGUAUUAUCACUGCAAUUCCUUGAUUUAUAUUAAUAUCUUGGAGUUAGAGUAAUUAGCCAUUCCGUAGCUGCGAGUAGAAGAUAACGUUACACAUUCCACAUUUGAGAAAAUGGUAUUUGAGACACAAACACGAGCUGUUGUAAAUUACAAGCAACAGUAGAAGUUAAUUGAUCUCUUGAAUUAUUCCGAAGAAGUCUGGCAUUUGAAUUCAAUUUUUCAGAUUCAAAUGCAUUAACUAUGCAUUAAUUAUGCGGAUAUAAAUUAAUUUUACAAAGAAAGAGUGUUAAGCAGGUGUACUUCAUAUGCAUAAGCAUUUUACUGGGUGCUACCAAAAUAAAAUUAUUCACAAUUCACCAUGUAAAGAUUAAAGUCAAAUCUAGAAUUAAUUGAAAUAUAAAAUAUCAUAAAUCUAGAUAUGAAUUUAUCACCAGAACUUUGUGUAUGUCUCAAAUUAUUCGUAAUAUUAAAAAAGGUUAUUCCUUCUGACGUCACUAUUUUUCGUUUUUAAAGCUGAGGAUGAUAUAUGGCGGCGAUGAUAUGUAGCUAUAGAGCAAUUUGCGAAUACAAAUCAAGGUCAUUUAGAAAAAAAAACGCAUUUAUAACGCUGUUCCGUGAAUCACUUGUAAACAUGCCGUCACGUAUCGAAGUCCGGUAGCCAAAUGUGCAACAAAAUUGUUAAUUCAUAUCAUCGGAUUUUAUCUUUGGUGAGAUACUCGACAAAUCUUUUUUUUUAUAAUUACGUGAUAAAAUAUUAAGCAAAUAUGUAAUUUUACGUCAUCUAUCCGCAUGUUGUAAUUUUAAUACAUUUUUUUGAGAAAAGAUUAUUAUAAAUACAUAAAUAUUCUUAAAUGUUGUCAUAUUGUUUAUUAUUAUUUGUUGCAGUGUAGAUUAUCGAGACGCAGUAUUGAUUCACGGCCUUGACACGAAACAUUCGCGAUGACACCGGGAGUCAAGUCAUUGAUUAUCACCGACUAAUUAAAUACAUACAAUUUCGCGUUCACUGCACAGGAAUUUUUUUCGACGCGAUUUAAUAGAACGUAUCAUACAAAAGAAAUUCUUGUACCUACCGCAAUGUCUUAUCAGCGGUCUUUCUUUCACUGUGCUCUAUAAUACGUCCACAGUUCUCGAUAAUUAACGACCAAUCAUUGGCGAUGAUUUAUGAUGGAGACAAAGUUUUUUAUGCAAACAGGCGAUCGAUUCGAAGUCUAAAUAUUCUAAUAAUAAAGUCGUUAAAACUGUCUGUACUUUCUUCUCUGUGACACUAGUGAUAACCCGACGUGAAUAUUUAAGAAAAGCUAUCAUUAAAAGAUAAAGGCAUUAGUGACUAAA